rnacentral:rRNA from 1 species
UACGGGGGGGGCAAGCGUUGUUCGGAAUUACUGGGCGUAAAGGGCUCGUAGGCGGCCAACUAAGCCAGACGUGAAAUCCCCAGGCUUAACCUGGGAACUGCGUCUGAUACUGGAUGGCUUGAGUCCGGGAGGGGGUAGCGGAAUUCCCAGUGUAGCGGUGAAAUGCGUAGAUAUUGGGAGGAACACCGGUGGCGAAGGCGGCAUCCUGGACCGACACUGACGCUGAGGAGCGAAAGCCAGGGGAGCAAACGGG